rnacentral:rRNA from 1 species
ACAUGUCUUUUUGAUUUAAUAAUUUAAAGUCAAAUCUGCCCACUGAUNUAAUUAUUAAAGGGCUGCAGUAUAUUGACUGUACAAAGGUAGCAUAAUCAUUAGUCUUUUAAUUGAAGACUUGUAUGAAGGAUUUAAUGAAAUAUAAACUGUCUCUAAUAUAUUUAUAGAAUUUAAUUUUUUAGUUAAAAAGCUAAAAUUUAUUUAAAAGACGAGAAGACCCUAUAGAGUUUUAUAAUUAUUUAUUAAUUAUUUAUUUAUAAAUAUAAAAAGAAAUUAAUAAAUAAUUAUUUUAUUGGGGUGAUAGAAAAAUUAAAUAAACUUUUUUUUNUUAAUUAACAAAUAUAAUUGAUUAAUUGAUCCAUAAAUUAUGAUUAAAAGAAAAAAUUACCUUAGGGAUAACAGCGUAAUUUUUUUUUUUAGUACAAAUAAAAAAAAAAGUUUGCGACCUCGAUGUUGGAUUAAGAUAAAAUUUAAAUGCAAAAGUUUAAAAUUUUGAUCUGUUCGAUCAUUAAAAUCUUACAUGAUCUGAGUUCAAACCGGUGUAAGCCAGGUUGGUUUCUAUCUUUAAAAAAUUAAAAUAUUUUA